rnacentral:rRNA from 1 species
CACUCCCUACGGGAGGCAGCAGUGAGGAAUAUUGGUCAAUGGGCGCGAGCCUGAACCAGCCAAGUAGCGUGAAGGAUGACUGCCCUAUGGGUUGUAAACUUCUUUUAUAAAGGAAUAAAGUGAGGCACGUGUGCCUUUUUGUAUGUACUUUAUGAAUAAGGAUCGGCUAACUCCGUGCCAGCAGCCGCGGUAAUACGGAGGAUCCGAGCGUUAUCCGGAUUUAUUGGGUUUAAAGGGAGCGUAGAUGGGUUGUUAAGUCAGUUGUGAAAGUUUGCGGCUCAACCGUAAAAUUGCAAUUGAUACUG